rnacentral:rRNA from 1 species
UCGAGCGAACUGAUUAGAAGCUUGCUUCUAUGACGUUAGCGGCGGACGGGUGAGUAACACGUGGGCAACCUGCCUGUAAGACUGGGAUAACUUCGGGAAACCGAAGCUAAUACCGGAUAGGAUCUUCUCCUUCAUGGGAGAUGAUUGAAAGAUGGUUUCGGCUAUCACUUACAGAUGGGCCCGCGGUGCAUUAGCUAGUUGGUGAGGUAACGGCUCACCAAGGCAACGAUGCAUAGCCGACCUGAGAGGGUGAUCGGCCACACUGGGACUGAGACACGGCCCAGACUCCUACGGGAGGCAGCAGUAGGGAAUCUUCCGCAAUGGACGAAAGUCUGACGGAGCAACGCCGCGUGAGUGAUGAAGGCUUUCGGGUCGUAAAACUCUGUUGUUAGGGAAGAACAAGUACNAGAGUAACUGCUUGUACCUUGACGGUACCUAACCAGAAAGCCACGGCUAACUACGUGCCAGCAGCCGCGGUAAUACGUAGGUGGCAAGCGUUAUCCGGAAUUAUUGGGCGUAAAGCGCGCGCAGGCGGUUUCUUAAGUCUGAUGUGAAAGCCCACGGCUCAACCGUGGAGGGUCAUUGGAAACUGGGGAACUUGAGUGCAGAAGAGAAAAGCGGAAUUCCACGUGUAGCGGUGAAAUGCGUAGAGAUGU